GGUUAACGCUGGCGGCGUGCCUAACACAUGCAAGUCGAACGGUUCUAAGCGCGAGCUUAGGAUAGUGGCGAACGGGUGAGUAAAAGGUAGGAAUCUACCCCUUGGACGGAGAUAGCUACUGGAAACGGUAGGUAAACUUCGAUAAGCCCGAGAGGGGAAAGUGGUGAGACAGCCGAGGGAUGAGCCUACUCUCCAUCAGGUAGUUGGUGAGAUAAAAGCUUACCAAGCCGAUGACGGAUAACCGGUGUGAGAGCAUGAACGGUCACAAGGGCACUGAGAGACGGGCCCUACUCCUACGGGAGGCAGCAGUAGGGAAUAUUGGACAAUGGGCGCAAGCCUGAUCCAGCCAUGCCGCGUGAGUGAAGAAGGCCCUCGGGUUGUAAAGCUCUUUUGUCCGGAAAGAAAAGCGCCGGGUUAAUACCCUGGUGUCCUGACGGUACCGGAAGAAUAAGCACCGGCUAACUUCGUG
rnacentral:rRNA from 1 species